ACCAGACUCCUACGGGAGGCAGCAGUGGGGAAUAUUGCACAAUGGGGGGAACCCUGAUGCAGCGACGCCGCGUGAGUGAAGAAGUAUUUCGGUAUGUAAAGCUCUGUCAGCAGGGAAGAAGAAAGACGGUACCUGACUAAGAAGCCCCGGCUAACUACGUGCCAGCAGCCGCGGUAAUACGUAGGGGGCAAGCGUUAUCCGGAUUUACUGGGUGUAAAGGGAGCGUAGACGGCGGCGCAAGCCAGAUGUGAAAGCCCGGGGCUCAACCCCGGGACUGCAUUUGGAACUGUGCCGCUAGAGUGUCGGAGAGGCAGGCGGAAUUCCUAGUGUAGCGGUGAAAUGCGUAGAUAUUAGGAGGAACACCAGUGGCGAAGGCGGCCUGCUGGACGAUGACUGACGUUGAGGCUCGAAAGCGUGGGGAGCAAACAGGAUUAGAUACCCUAGUA
rnacentral:rRNA from 1 species